AUUGAACGCUGGCGGCAGGCCUAACACAUGCAAGUCGAGCGGAGCGGCGGACGGGUGAGCAAUGCCUAGGAACCUGCCUGGUAGUGGGGGAUAACGUCCGGAAACGGGCGCUAAUACCGCAUACUAUCAGAUGAGCCUAGGUCGGAUUAGCUAGUUGGUGGGGUGAAGGCAUACCACGGCGACGAUCCGUAACUGGUCCGAGGGGAUGAUCAGUCACCCUACAACGGAGAUGAGAUCCGGUCUCCUACCACAGGCAGCAGUGAGGAGUAUUGGACUAGGGGCUGGAGCCUAGUCCUACCAUGCCGAGUAUGGUAAAAAGUUCUUCGGAUUGUGGUGCACUUGAAGUUGUGUGGCUUUACCAACAGAAUAAGCACCGGCUAACUUCGUGCCAGCCGCCGCGGUAAUUC
rnacentral:rRNA from 1 species